AUUGAACGCUGGCGGCAGGCCUAACACAUGCAAGUCGAACGAGUGGCGGACGGGUGAGUAAUGUCUGGGAAACUGCCUGAUGGAGGGGGAUAUCUACUGGAACCGGUAGCUAAUACCGCAUACCAUCGGAUGUUCCCAGAGGGGAUUAGCUAGUAGGUGGGGUAAAGGCUCACCUAGGCGACGAUCCCUAGCUGGUCUGAGAGGAUGACCAGCCACACUGGAACUGAGACACGGUCAAGACUCCUACGGUAGGCAGAAGUGGGGAAUAUGGCACAAUGGGCGCAAGCCUGAGGCAGCCAGGCCGCGUGUAUGAAGAAGGCCUGCGGGUUGUAAAGUACUAUCAGCGGGGAGGCGUUACCCGCAGAAGAAGCACCGGCUAACUCCGUGCCAGCAGCCGCGGUAAUUC
rnacentral:rRNA from 1 species